UACGUAGGGGGCGAGCGUUGUCCGGAUUUAUUGGGCGUAAAGAGCGUGUAGGCGGCCAGGUAGGUCUGCUGUGAAAACUCGAGGCUCAACCUCGAGACGUCGGCGGAAACCAUCUGGCUAGAGUCCGGAAGAGGAGAGUGGAAUUCCUGGUGUAGCGGUGAAAUGCGCAGAUAUCAGGAAGAACACCCGUGGCGAAGGCGGCUCUCUGGGCCGACCCUGACGCUGAGGCGCGAAAGCGUGGGGAGCGAACGGG
rnacentral:rRNA from 1 species